AUCAACUUUCGUGUUAACAGAGAUUUAACUACCAUGUACGAAAACGCUUUCAACCUUUGAUAUCGAAAAUGCUGUAUUUUGUUUGUAUGAUUGGAUUUAUUAUCAGCGGUUUCAUUUGCCACACACUUAAAUAUAAGCAUUCUUUACGCUUGUGGCGGCCAAUCAUAUGCUCUGAAUAUCGGCCAACAAAUACACAUUGUCGAAAGAAGUUAUAUCAAACAUAAUUAUAAAGUAUGCAGUUGUAUAAUUCAAGGAUCGACGGAACUGAAAAUUCAAGAUUAUUUCACACGUUUUGCAAAGACAAUUGAUGGACCGUAUACGCUAUCUAACAGUCACCUGUGGCUUAGUGACGUAGUCUACGACAAGUCAAAUAAUUCCAACACCCUUCAUAGCGAUUAUGAUCAUGCGAAUGUCUCAUUUCUUAUGAUUAUUUUUGAUAACAACUUCCGACGCCUUUGGUUGAGUGUAAACGUAAAAGGCAAUGAUACUAAAAUAUCGUGCAAAGACUCUGAGUUGUUGACGACCAAACACCCACACUACUGCCAAUAUAUGAAACCGAAAUGGGAUCAUCCACCCUUGCGCUUUCGUCUACCACGGUCACUUACACAGAGACACGGACAAAUGCAAGCUCCAAAUACAACACUUCAAUAUUUGGUCUGCCUCGGGGUCGAUGUCAGAGCAAACUGGCUCAUCGAAAUCAAAAGUUAAACUCGCAGAUGACGAAGAAGGUAUUUAAAAUCCGUAUUUCAUCUUACGUCUAUUAAAUAAACAGGAAAU